AUGCAACAAUAUUUGUUUAAUGUUGAAAACUUCAACACAUGUGACACUUGGCUGCUCCCAUGUUUCUGCCCCUCUCUUCAUGUUAGAUUGCCCAGGCGACAUUCCUGGGAGUCCAGUACUUCUGUUACCACUUGUUCUCUUUCUCAUCAAGCCAAUCACCAGAGUCAAGGUAAAGGACAAGAUCAUGAUGCAUCAGGUAAAGCAAGACAGAGUCAACAACAAGAUGGGCAAUUGGAUCCAAAGUCCACAGGGAUGUUCUCCUCCCUCACUUUGAAGAAUCUCAGGGAACAUUUUAAAUCUUCUGGCACAGGCAGGUGGAGUGGAUGUACAGAGAGGAGAACCAGACACAACCUGAUGCCCUGGCCCACUUUGUGUCUGGGUUUUCCCUUCAUGGAUCUCAGGAUCCUUCUUAGACACCUGUAUUUCACUCAGAUACUGGCCACCCUUUGGCAUGUUAGUAGGGUUGUUGAAUAGAGAAGAGGAGUAGGGUAUAAGGCCAAAGCAGCCUUCUAGGUGGAGUAGAUGCAGCUAAAAUGUCAUUCUGUAGAGGACAGGUGGGCGUUAAAAGAUGUAUCCAGAGUAGAAUUAGCUGCGCAUGGUGGUGCACACCUGUAAUCCCAGCUACUUGGGAGACUGAGGCACGAAAAUCACUUGAACCCAGGAGGGUUGCCAUGAGUCAAGAUUACAUCACUACUCUCCAGCCUGGAUGACAAGACAAGAAAGGACAGGACAGGACAGGACAGGACAGGACAAGACAAGACAAGACAAGACAAGACAGAAAGAUAAUGAAUUAAAAGAUGUAACCAGAGGAGAAAUUUGUCAAGUAUGCAUUUCAAUUUUUUGAAGGCCAUUGGUUUGUAGAUGUUGGGUGGUGAACCAUAAGUACAAAUAUGGGAGGCCUCAAAAAGUGCCCUCUAACAUCAAGAGACCAACAGAAUCUGCUGCUGGAAGCCUGGUGACCCCAUCUGUGGAGGCAGAAGGGCUCACUGGAGAAUGAAUCUACUGUGACCGAUGAACCUGCAGACAAAGUGCGCCUUCUUGGUAUCAGUUUCCACUAGAAGAAAAGACAGGGGCUGAAUCUUAGGCUACAAACUCAAAUGGAAAAAAAACAUGCCAUGUAACUUUAUUUUCUACAAAUCAGUUUAGUUGUAAUUGUGAGCCUAACUUCUUCCUUACUGGCAGGAAAUGAGAUUCACUUUUGGGGCCCCCACACUAAUCCAGAGCUAUGCCAUAGUUCAGUGUCCCACACAGUGCCAGGAUGUUACAGUCCCUCGGGCCACUGGUCAUCCACCACGCUGAGUACAGCUGAGAUGUUCCCUUCAUUUCUACAACAAGCACCUGCAGCUUUUGUGCCUGUGUGGGGCAAGGACCUAUUCAAGAAGGUGCUUCCUGAGUUCCCUCAGUCAGGAUGCACCCAAGAGCUUCCUCUCUGGAGACUUGUCACAUUCUCAGGAGGCUGCCCAGAAGAACCAGGAACAUUUCUGCUGCUCUCCUGGCCCUGUCCACCCACCAGACUUGGGGGAUUUAUUUUAGUUUAAGGAAAAUUCUUCUCUGACCAUAUUUUUUCCCAGGCACCAUGCUGCUUUCUGUGAGACGUUCCCUCCCCUUAAAACUUUGGCUUUCAGAAACAAACAAAGAAAAAAUAAAAAAUAAAAAAAAAACAAGAAGUUUUAAAUAAAAAACAACUUCUGCUUUCCACACUGCCACAAAAUUUUCCUGGGGCAAGAAAACACAAACGUAGACCAGCUCUAUACUAGGAUGUGACGAAAGAGAAAACCACAGAGCAGAAAUACAAUCAUAAACUAAUAUUCAGCUAUAUGUAUACAAGGAUAGGUCAGAGAUAAAGCCCAGAUUAGCAAUAUUCAACAGGUGUUUAGGACAUCAGAUUUCUUCAUGACAGGCCCUUAAGCUGGACACAGAUGGUGUAUAAUGCCACAUCCCCAAUUUGCCCUAGGAAGGGGCCAGUAGAAACCCAUAUGGCCAUGAAAAUCAAAUCGCCUUUACUGGGCCAAAGUAAAGGAACAGAUGACAACCACUCACCUCGCACUGCAGUCCCCUCCCUAGGGGCUGGCUGGCCUGCAGCCAUUGGUGACAACUUCAUGGACGACUUUUGUUACCUUCAGUUGAACUAAUAAUCAUAUUUUUCCAGAUAAGCAUCUGCUGAAUCAAGCUCUAUUAAUUCCCUGCUAUACAAAUUACCACAAAGUGGCUUUAAACCACAGAACUUUAUUCCCCACAGUUCCCAAAGCUGGAAGUCUAAAAUUAAGGUGUCAGCAUGACCACGUUAGCUCUGAAGCCUCUGGGGGAAUACCUUUCCCCACCUCCUCCAGUUUCUAGUGCUGCAACAACUCUUGGUGUUCAUUAGUUUGUAGAUGUCCCCAUUAUACAUGACAUUCUCCCUGUCUGUCUCUGUGUCCAUAUUUCCCUCUGCUUAUCAGGACACCUGUCUUACCAGAUUUAGUGUUCACCCUAGACCAGUACGACCUCAUCUUACCUUGAUUACAUCUACAAAGACUCUUCCAAAGAGGGUCAUAUUCACAGGUUUCAGGUGAACAUGAAUCCUGAGGGGACACUCUUCAGCCCAGUACAGAAGUCACUUAUAGAAAGGUAUCCACCCAGUAGUGUGGGCUGCUUGACCAUAUACACAUGUUGGCAACUCAAAGCUCUAGAAAAGAAGCCUCCUUUCAUCAUGAACUGCAUUGAACAGCUUGCUGCAGCUGCCUGGGGUUACGGUCAUCUGGACACUAGAACAAGAUGUAAGAGCAACUGACCCAUGAUUAAAAGAAUCUGGAAUCCUUGAGCAGUGUGGAAACAAUUACAAACUGCAGAUGGGAGGCAGAGCUACCGGACACCAAAGGAACAGAGACUGAACGGUGGUGAGACCCCAAGACAACUAUUAGGUGUUGAGAAAACCCUAUCUCUCUUUUCUAUCAUGGCUGUCAAAACUCAAAAAUGAGGAAGUCACCAGAGUGUCACUGAGACCACAAGAAAAAAAAAAAGCCAAGGUGGCCUCAGGAAGCAGGAAGCCAUUCAAAAGCUAGCAAGAGUGUGAGGAUCACACCACUGGGGCCAGGAGGUUGACUCUGGGAUGCCCUUUUGCACCAUUGCAUUGGCCUUGAAGGUAGGGCAGCUGGUAGGAGGUGUGGGAUUGUACAUCGAUGGAGAAGCCAAGGGCAAGAUGGAUACCCAUAGCAACUCCUCAAAGUUUCUAUGAUCAACUAAUCAGUACUGGGGAAAAUGACAUUUAGAUUUUGCCAUAUAUUUAUAUUUAUCAAAAUAUGUCUAUCAGCUUACCCUGCUUUAUUAAAAUGUGGCAAAAAGUAAGGACUCCAAUUUCUGUAAAACUGGCAUGCCUUAGCAUUUAAAGUGGUAUACUGGAAUAAAGAAAAAGAACAAUGCUGUGAUUGUUUUUCAUGGCAAAAUACAUUUUUUCCUUCUCUGCCGCUGGCAUCUUAGUGAUUGGUUCUUUCCCAUCCCACCUCCCUCUGUGAAUCACAGUCCUGUAAAGACUUGAGCCUCUUCCAUCUAACUUUAGUAUUUUCCUCCUCGCCAGGAGUUUGUCUUCUGGGACCCCAAAUGCAAUACUGAUUCAACAAUCUCACGGUCUUGCACAAAAAAAAUUGAUAGAAAUAUAUUCACUAGACGUGAAAUCAUGUUACCAUUUAAAUCUUUCCUAUUUCUCUGCCCGAUGCUUCAUGUGGUAAAGCUGGACUGAAGAGCCUUGGCACGCGUGAGAUAGGAUUUCGGGUAGGCCAGGCAAAUUGAAAUAUGUGAUAAAGAGUUUCUCCUUUAUUCAAUCAAGAAUAUUGAUAAGGGUGUAGUUUUCUCCUAAUGUCCAAAAUCAUGACUUUAUUUGAAUUCUCUGUAAGUGUUCAAAAGGAAAUGCUGAUGGAAACAAAUAUUAUGUAUUCCUGUUAAAAUUUUUCAGCAUAACUUUGGGGGAAAUAUAAACUCCAUGGAUUAAUCAAGUAUCAUUUAUCAAUAUAGCAACAAAUAUUUAUUGUGCAUUUUUGUGUCCUAAGCACCAUACUACUAUGCCUUUUUAUAAAACAAGACUUGUAAAAAUUAUACUAUUAUGUCCAAACCCACAAAAAGUAAUUUUUUAAUUGCAUUUGAAUGAUAACUAGCAUGAAGGCAAUGGAAGAAAUCACAAAGAAAAAAGAUAGAUAGAUUUUACUGCAUGAAAAUGUAAGCCCUCUGUUUCUCAAAAUAUAAGCCAAUGUAAAAGGCUUAUAUUUAUAUAAUUACAUAGUUA
ensembl:lncRNA